rnacentral:rRNA from 1 species
GACAGAGGAUGCAAGCGUUAUCCGGAAUGAUUGGGCGUAAAGGGUCCGCAGGUGGCAAUGUAAGUCUGCUGUCAAAGAAUGAGGCUUAACCUCAUCAAGGCAGUGGAAACUACAUAGCUAGAGUAAGGUAGGGGUAGAGGGAAUUCCUGGUGUAGCGGUGAAAUGCGUAGAUAUCUGGAAGAACACCAGUGGCGAAGGCGUCUACUGGGCCGUAACUGACACUGAGGGACGAAAGCUAGGGGGAGCGAAAGGG